AAAUUACAGAUUCCUCGGCUCCACUCGCAGACCCACUGAAUCAGAAUCUCGAAGGGAGGUGCUCUCGGGAACCUGUAUCUUUAACUAGGGCCCGAGUGGAUUCUUAUGAUCAGGCAAGUUUGAGAAACACAGCUCUAAUUCAUUGAGGCUGGCGGGAAGGGGGGCGGGGACCGCGCAGUCUCUUUAAGGCGCUUCCAGUUCUCGGCUCCAAUCGCUGCUCUGACCCCUUUGUCGUCUCCUCCCCCCUCCUCGUCCUUCCCUCGGUCCAGGAGGCUUGCCCCAGCACAGUGGGGCUGGGGACACAGGGAUAACCAAGUCCAGAAACACCUCUGGGACUGUGAAAUGUCCCCUAGAGUCUGGGUCCUGAGCAGCGCAGUCAGAAGCUGUGACAGAACAUCAUCUCUGUGGCUGAGCCUACCACUUGAGCCAGUCUCAGGCUUCCCUCCUAUUCCAGGUUCUGCCCCCUUCCUACACCGCAGCAUCUUUCCCAUACAUCCUGCCUUUCUGGCCUUAAACUAGAAGAACUGCAACUAGCUCACCCACCGAAGGAUUCUUGUUCUUGCUGUUCCUGCUAAAAAUGAUGGAAGUCAUGGAUGGGUAAAGGGACAAGAGGUACUCCCAUCCCACCUCCACAGAAAAACAGACGUCAAAGAGACCUAAAUCUCUGUGUACCUGGGACUGUCUACCAUUGAAGACACCAUGGCAACUCUACUGCCUUACUGAUCAACUUCCUGCAGAACCCUCCAAUCCAGAAUGUUCUGGAAGUCUUAUGCAUAACAUCCAGAGCCAGGUGUUACACUCGGAGCUGUGGACACAGCACUGAACCAUACAAACUUGCCCAGGGCCACAAUGAGGGCCGGGUUCUCCAAAAAGCAGCUCAAGGAAGUGUCUAGGUCAACAACAGAGAAGUGCCAAAAACAGAAGAAUCAAG